CAGUCGCCGCGGGAACACGUAGGUGGCAAGCGUUGUCCGGAAUUAUUGGGCGUAAAGGGCUCGCAGGCGGUUUCUUAAGUCUGAUGUGAAAGCCCCCGGCUCAACCGGGGAGGGUUAUCGGAAACUGGGAAACUUGAGUGCAGAAGAGGAGAGUGGAAUUCCACGUGUAGCGGUGAAAUGCGUAGAGAUGUGGAGGAACACCAGUGGCGAAGGCGACUCUCUGGUCUGUAACUGACGCUGAGGAGCGAAAGCAUGGGGAGCGAACAGGAUUAGAUACCCCAGUAGUCCCUGUCUCUUAUAC
rnacentral:rRNA from 1 species